AUUGAUCCGUCGUUAUAUAUUUUGUAUGAUACAAUCAUGGAGAAAAAGGUCGUCGGAGUCUAGUAUCCAAAGUACUAAGUUUACAGUAUUCAUACGAGAACAUUACUCAAAACAAGGUGGUUGUAACCAUUUGACCAGAAAGGAUGGAACGUCCGAAGACCAGUAAACGAUCUGUUCCACUUAUACUGUUGAUUUUAUCACUAACCACACUGUCUUUUGGUCAAUCAACAAAUAGUAACCAUGCUCCUGGUACUCCAAUAAUCACUGGGCGGAAUUUGACAUUUCAAGGAAACGAAGGAUCAUUGACGUGUACAUCGAUAGGUGGUAACCCUGAACCAACAGUUAAAUGGUUCCGUAAAGACGCUAUGAUAGAUGAUAUAUUGGACACACCAACAGUAUCAAACAUAACAAGAAACACAUAUAACUAUACUGCUGAUAUAAGUUACCACCUGGCUGUGUUUGAAUGUCGGGUUGAGAACACUGUUUUAGAGAGCUAUUUGAGUGCAACAAUCUUCUUACAAG